UUUAAAGGUGUUAAUGUGUGA
rnacentral:miRNA from 1 species